rnacentral:lncRNA from 1 species
GUGAGAGAGAAAAGAAUCUGCGGCCAGAAAAAGGUUCUUCCUUCUUAUGGGUUGCUGUCCCUAUACAAAAGUAGGUCACAUGGUGAAUCUAUUGUAUAGUACACAAUUUACCGUGCAAAAGAUUUGGUUCUUCCUCCGUCCAAAUGUCGACGAUGCAUGGCGUCAUUUUCUGUUUUCGAGGAAAGGGUUGUUUCACGCGAUUUUGGUCGGCGUGGAUUCUGUUGCUUUAUGCUAAGGUUAAAGGUGGAGUGUGUUAGCACGCGCAGUGAAUUCGUCUAGGUUUUAGGCGGAGUUUCUGGUCUCGGUUUUUUAGGCAAAGGCAUUGGUUGGCAGAGGGAAGGUGUAUGGUAAGGACAUUGUC